rnacentral:rRNA from 1 species
UACGGAGGGUGCAAGCGUUAUCCGGAUUUACUGGGUUUAAAGGGUGCGUAGGUGGGUUGGUGAGUCAGUGGUGAAAUACUUUCGCUUAACGAAGGAACUGCCAUUGAUACUACCAGCCUUGAAUACAGUGGAGGUGGGCGGAAUGCGUCAUGUAGCGGUGAAAAUGCUUAGAUAUGACGCAGAACACCAAUUGCGAAGGCAGCUUGCUACGCUGUUAUUGACACUGAGGCACGAAAGCGUGGGGAUCAAACAGG